GAACACAAAAUGGCGACACGUGGUUAGCAUUCGUCGCCAACGAGAAAUUGGGGUCGGCCCGAAAGCUCUAGAAUGCACCCCUAUUCCUCCCCGGGGCCAUUCCCGCUCAACGAGUUUUAUGACCUAAAAAACCCCACAGGCUGGUCUGAAGGUCGGAGGCCUAAUUUUAACGCGUUUUCCUCCCUUUAAUUUGAAACGGGAACGCGAAUAACUAAAAUGUGGGCACAAUAUUUAACCUCUUGCUUUUUUAAAGCUUAAUAAUGGAUAGUAGGGGGCAGUAUCAAGGGAUAAUUUGGGUCCCCACAGUACCAAAGCAUUUAGAAACCUCUGCUUAAUUUAAGGAAUGAGAUAAAUUACUGCUUUUCUAGAUUUGGUAGCAUGGGCUGUUGUGCUGGAGAGAACGAGAGCUACGAAGAGACUAGAAUGCCUCUGACUUUUUCAUAGGACAGUUGGCCGAGGAAGACACUUAAAGAUGAAGUGCUUAAUUCAAGGUCACAGAAUGUCGGGGAUGGACCUCCAGAUUUCCUUACUGGUGAGACGUGGUCUUGUAACACAGUGGUUAAGAAUGUGACUUUGGAGCCAGCCUGCUAGGGGCUGAAUUCUGACUCAGCCAUUUAUUAACUGUGUGACCUUAGGCUGACAGCUCCCAAAUCUCUGUCUUCAAUCCGGAUGUCUGUCCCGGGCUCCAGUUUUGUGGUUCCACCUAUAUGCUCUACAGGUCAUAGAAUUUUCCACACUCCUUGACGGAGGUUCUUAACCCUUAUCCAUCAGCAUUCUCAGACAGCACCUCCGGUUAGGGACAGUAUCUGACCGUCCGACAUCCCUGCAGCCCCCAUGCUGUCACACAGACUCAGCCUCAGGUAGAUGGUUUCCGUAGAUGGUGGCUUUCUUUGGACCCUUGAUAUCAACCAGUUACUAUUUGACUCUUCUGCAGAACCCCAUGUUGACCCCUGCUUUGAGGUGGCAGCGUUAACACUACUCUUUGUUAUAAGCUCUCGUCUGGGGCAACUCAGGAGAACCUCAGCAAGGCCCACAUUCUCCCGGUGAAGCCACAGAACCACAGGGAGAAAUCCAUGGACUUGGCCUCGCUCUCUAGGGGACCAGAUGUGCAGAGGUAAUGAAUACCAGGGAAUCAGGAAACCACUGGAUCAGUUCUUUGAGCCAUAGAACAACACUCAUCCCAGCAGCUGGGAAGCUAUCUGCAAAAGUCCAUCUGCAGAAAGGGCUUCCUGGUCUUGCGUGUGGCUGGGCCAUUUCUCUGGAUGCAGGUUUUUCAUUAUACAGUCUUCUCAAAGGACCACCUGCUCUCAACACC
rnacentral:antisense_RNA from 1 species